AGGGAGACCUAACCGAACAGAGAAACAACAGCCAACAGGAGAAAACAAAUCCUCAGCGCUGAAAUCUCGAAUCGGUUCAUCCCCAGGUCGAGCGAGGGGAAGAAUAACUUUCAAACUAUUAACGGUUCGGAGGAUGGGCUAUUAGCUCAGGUGGUUAGAGCGCACCCCUGAUAAGGGUGAGGUCCCUGGUUCGAGUCCAGGAUAGCCCACCUUAAACCGAAAACCAGUAGGAAAGAGCCCCAGCAUCUGGAUGGGGGCAAAGGCAACCCAACAGAAUGCUGGAUAUCUCAUCCAGCUUCAGAACCUUGAAAACUGCAUAGCCAUUCGUCAAAACCAAAAUCAAGCCAAAGCUCAAUACGGUCAAGCAAAUAAG
rnacentral:tRNA from 1 species